UACGGGGGGAGCAAGCGUUGUUCGGAUUUACUGGGCGUAAAGGGCGCGUAGGCGGCCAGCACAAGUCAGUUGUGAAAUCUCCGGGCUUAACUCGGAAAGGUCAACUGAUACUGUGCGGCUAGAGUGCAGAAGGGGCAACUGGAAUUCUCGGUGUAGCGGUGAAAUGCGUAGAUAUCGAGAGGAACACCUGAGGUGAAGACGGGUUGCUGGGCUGACACUGACGCUGAGGCGCGAAAGCUAGGGGAGCAAACGGG
rnacentral:rRNA from 1 species